GGUCUCGAACUCCUGGCCUCAAGUGAUCCACCUGCUGCUGCCUCCCAAAGUGCUGGGAUUACAGGCUUGAGCCACUGUGCCUAGCCGGGAACAUUUAUUUGUCUCAUACAAUAUGAAAACAAAUGUAGGCCAGUUCUUGAGUUGGCUAAUUCCCUGAGUCAGUGACAUCCUUAAGAACCCAGGUGCUUCCAUCUUUCUACUCAGUUAUCCUUAGCCUUGUCAACAGUCUCAUGAUCACAAGAUGGCUGCAGCCAUCCAAGCACUCCUUGUAAACACAGCAUCUAACACAGAAGAGGAACAUAUAUGCCUAUGCUUUUCUCUCUGUUAGGGAACAAGGCUUUUCACAGAAUCUUCCCCACCACUCUGUCCUCAGGGCCAGCAGGCCAGGAUUGGAUCACAUGCUCACAUCCCUCUCUAAUCACUGGCUAGGCAUUGAGAAUGAUCAUAAUUUACCCCUCUGAGCCUGGAGAAUGGACACUUUCCAAGCCAGUGAAAGGUUAAUGUCCAAACAAAAUUUUGGUUCCAAUGGCAAAGAAGAAAGGAAUGACUCUGAGUUAGUAACCAGCAGCAUGUCUCACCAUAACCAGUUUGGUCCCUUCCCACAUUGAAGGUGAAAAUUGACAAGAAUUAAUUGCAUGUUAAGGCUGUUGAGCAGCUGAGAUGGGGAUCUCUUCGUGGUAAUAGCACAGUAGAAAGAAACAGCCUUCUCCCUUGACCAUAUUUUGUUAGAGCUUACGCUAGGGCAUCCCAUAAUGCCUUGAUGGUUAUUAGACAGUUAUUAGAAGGCAGAAUGAGAGUUUAGAUGAAGGAGAGUUAAAUUGGGGACCUUAUGGACUCAGUGAAGGAACAAAAGCAGGGAAAAACCUGUCGUUAACCAUAAGUAAGAAGCAGGGAUUAAAGAUUUGGAUUUUGAAGUUUAUUAAAUUCAGUCAACUUUUUUUGAGCACCUGCUGUGUGCCAAGUACUGUGGGUAGGCUUAAAGGUUACAGGGGUAAGAUGUGAUCCCUCGUAUACCACACAGGUAGUUAGAUCGUUUCCUGUAAUGUGCUAUCUGUGCUAAGGAGGUAUUGCCAGGUUCUGUGGAGUUCAGAGAAAAAACAUUCAGCCCAACCUGGUAAUCCAGUAGAGCUCAUUAUUGAAGGGUGAGUCAGAGUUCAGGAGAAGAAAGUUGGGCAGAAACUUUAAAGCAAAGGAGAAACAUGUGCAAAGUCAGAGACUGGAAACAGCAGUCUUAGGUUAUAAGAUAUAAGAUGGGAACUGGUGGGAGUUGAAACUUGACCUUGAAAGGUAGUGGAUGUCAAGUGUGUCCAUUGAGGUUCUUACUUGCAGACUACAGAGUGUACUUUUCAUUCACUCUCUUAAGCAGAAAAGGGCUUAUUAUAAGAUACCAGGUACCUUACAAAACCUGUGGAAGGGCCAGUGAACCCAUGUCAGAUGCUGCUUAGCAAAGAGCAGAGCAGCUAUAGAUGUAUGUAACGUGUGACCAUCAUAGUGAAACAUCUACACAGUGCUGCAGAAGAACUGGAUGUUUGUACUACCAUACUUGGCCAAAGACCAGAUUUUUAGCACAGUCAUUAUUUCAUAUUGCUCACUUCUACCCCGAGUCUUGUGUGGGAGCACCUGCUAGGAAGAAACUAGGUCUCGUGGAGAACUGAGCUGCUAGGGAGUCUGGGAAAUUUAGCUGUAAGAUAGUCAAGCUAGAAGGGAGCAGGAGUGAGUGUUAAGUGAACCACCUCAUAGUGUCUGCCAAUUUUCAGUACAGCCAAGGGGUUUUGAUGAAUUAUUUAGGCCAUGGGGUGUCAUUGAAAAGUGUUCAAAGCAAGGAGUAGUGUGGCCAUAUUUACAUAUUUAUCACUGGGGCUAUCUUCUACAACAUGGAUUUAGGAGGGGCCCAUUGGGGGCUAUUGCAGUAGCAGGUAGGUCACAAAUGAUGAGGGUUGAAAAGGAAGCAGCAACAAAGUGAAGACUACCUGGAGGUAGAAUUUAGCAGGAAUUGGUGGUUGAUUUACAUAUGAGAGAGUGGAGGGUGAUACCCACGUGAAUGUAUCCAGCAUACAGUUGGUCAUAUUUAAAUGGAACUCAUAGGAACUACUCUAGAGUGGAUUUGGAAUCAUUAAAGAGAGGAGUGGGCCAAGAACAGGCCCCUGAGACCCACAGCCCUGCCAGGCACAUUGAACAGGUACCCAUGGGUGAGAUGGAAGGAGAGAGAGAGGAGAGCAUCUGAGAAGGCCAAGAGUAAAGAAUGGCUCAAGAAGGGUUUAGCAGCCAACAGCGUUAUGUGCAGAUUAGAGAUCCAGUGGGAAAGAGGAACAGGUUUUCUUUGGACUUAGCGUGUAGGGCAGCAUCCUUUGCUGAAGCAAAUUCAGGGGCUGUUUGUUGCAUGUUCUGGUAGGCUGCCAGUUAACACUUACCAAACCCUUUUUUUCCCCUGACUUUAUUGAGGUAUAGUAUACGUAACAUAAAAUUCACCCAUUUUGAGUGAGAAUUUAGUGAUUUUUGAUAAGUUUACCAAGUUAUGCAGCCAUCACCAUAGAUGUUUUAGAACAUUUUCUGACAACUUUAUAUAUAAAGAUGUAAUUCACAUACCGUACAUUUCACCCAGAGUUCACAAUUCAGUGUUGUUUAGUAUAUUCACAGAUAAAUGCAGCCGAUCACCAGUCAAUUUUAGAACAUAUCCCCUCAAAAGAGGAACCUUGUAAUCUAGCUGUUGCCCCUUUAGUUUUAGAACUCAUUGCUCACCCCAAUAAGAACCUCAGUGUCUAAAUACAAUUAAUCUCCAUUCUCACCCCCCAGCAACCACUUAACUUUUUGCAAAGAGAACUAAGACCAACACAUGGAUCUUAAAGGGAACCAGGCACCAUGGAAUAGUGGUGAAAGGCAAAGGAAAGUGGGGUCUAUAGAUUGGGAAACGCAUAGGUCAGCUAACCUAACACUGGUCACAGGAGGAGAUGAAACAGAGGCAGUGGCACAGUUGGCAGGUGGGAUUCGAGCCUAGAGCCUUAGGAGAAACCAGUUUUCUUGCUCAUUUUUAGAUAUCUAAGAAUAUAUAGGAUCUUUAGAUGUGUUUCUUUUUACUGGUAGGAAUGUAGCUAACACCUAGAGCCAGCUGAGAUUCAGCUUUCAGAAUCUAGAGACAUCUUGGGAGCCAGGGAGCCACAUUUCAAAUUUCCCUUGAACAUAACACAAGAUCAGUGGCUUUGCCUCAUUCUCAUUACUCUGUAUUAGUUAAGCAGUGCUGCCACAUCACUGUACAGGCAUGUUUUCAGGAGGGCAUAUGGCCCACACCUGGUAAAAGAUGGGGCAGGAAGCACUUUGGGGCUGGGCCUUUCGACCAUGCUUUCAAGCUGUUCAAGGCCCACAUGCUGCAAUGAGAAUUUAGCAGUGACUCCUUGUGGAGAAGGAAUAUGACAUGCUUAACAUACCCUUAAGGACUUCUCAGUUUUAAUUAUAAGUUUAAUUUAGUACUAUAAGCAGAAUUUACCAUCCAGAAUUAAGGCUAUUUCAGUUUCCAUCCUCUAAUAAA